rnacentral:rRNA from 1 species
GAUGAACGCUAGCGACAGGCUUAACACAUGCAAGUCGAACGGGCUCAUAUUGAAACCUAGUGAUGUAUGAGUUAGUGGCGGACGGGUGAGUAACGCGUGGAGAACCUGCCGUAUACUGGGGGAUAACACUUAGAAAUAGGUGCUAAUACCGCAUAAGCGCACAGCUUCGCAUGAAGCAGUGUGAAAAACUCCGGUGGUAUACGAUGGAUCCGCGUCUGAUUAGCUGGUUGGCGGGGUAACAGCCCACCAAGGCGACGAUCAGUAGCCGGCCUGAGAGGGUGAACGGCCACAUUGGGACUGAGACACGGCCCAA